rnacentral:rRNA from 1 species
AACGCUGGCGGCAGGCUUAACACAUGCAAGUCGAGCGGGCGUAGCAAUACGUCAGCGGCAGACGGGUGAGUAACGCGUGGGAACGUACCUUUUGGUUCGGAACAACACAGGGAAACUUGUGCUAAUACCGGAUAAGCCCUUACGGGGAAAGAUUUAUCGCCGAAAGAUCGGCCCGCGUCUGAUUAGCUAGUUGGUGAGGUAACGGGCUCACCCAAGGCGACGAUCAGUAGCUGGUCUGAGAGGAUGAUCAGCCACAUUGGGACUGAGACACGGCCCAAACUCCUACGGGAGGCAGCAGUGGGGAAUAUUGGACAAUGGGCGCAAGCCUGAUCCAGCCAUGCCGCGUGAGUGAUGAAGGCCCUAGGGUUGUAAAGCUCUUUUGUGCGGGAAGAUAAUGACGGUACCGCAAGAAUAAGCCCCGGCUAACUUCGUG